UACGUAGGGCGCAAGCGUUGUCCGGAAUCAUUGGGCGUAAAGAGCUCGUAGGCGGCCUGUUGCGUCCGCUGUGAAAUCCCGGGGCUUAACCCCGGGCGUGCAGUGGAUACGGGCUGGCUGGAGGCAGGCAGGGGAGAACGGAAUUCCCGGUGUAGCGGUGAAAUGCGCAGAUAUCAGGAGGAACACCGAUGGCGAAGGCAGGUCUCUGGGCCGAUACUGACGCUGAGGAGCGAAAGCGUGGGGAGCGAACAGG
rnacentral:rRNA from 1 species